CACGUAGGGGGCAAGCGUUGUCCGGAUUUAUUGGGCGUAAAGAGCUCGUAGGCGGUUUGUCGCGUCGACUGUGAAAACCUACAGCUUAACUGUGGGCUUGCAGUCGAUACGGGCAGACUUGAGUUCGGUAGGGGAGACUGGAAUUCCUGGUGUAGCGGUGAAAUGCGCAGAUAUCAGGAGGAACACCGGUGGCGAAGGCGGGUCUCUGGGCCGAUACUGACGCUGAGGAGCGAAAGCGUGGGGAGCGAACAGG
rnacentral:rRNA from 1 species